rnacentral:tRNA from 1 species
GGAGAGGUGGCCGAGUGGUUUAAGGCACCGGUUUUGAAAACCGGCGUAGGAGCGAUCCUACCGUGAGUUCGAAUCUCACCCUCUCCGCCA